rnacentral:lncRNA from 1 species
CUGGCAUCAAGGUCCAGACCUCCAAAAUCAGAUUUCCUGAUGCAAUAAAGGGUGGAGGGUGAGACCACAUCGUGUAAGGAAGGCUGGUGCUGUGAUUAGUGUGCUUAUCAGGAACUUCUGAGAAACACCAUUUAGCUGCUGUGCCACAGCCCUGCAAAGAAAGCCUCAGAACUGGUACUUCAUAUGGGGAGAGAGGACCAGUGACACUGGGAAUCACUUGAAUGAGAAGCAAAGUGAGAAAUCAGCUGUGAUGAAAGAAAAAAUUCCAUGGAACCACAAGACAAAAAUCAAGAGAUGGAAAGCUGGAUGGCAGCAUUUCAGUAAGGUGAGGAAAAUGUGUAUGAAACUUGUGAGAUGGUGUUGCAUAUCCAGUACCAGAAGUCCUUGGGCCAGAAGUGCUUCUGCUGUACACCACCAAAAGGGAUUAUCAGUGGAACAACGGAUCAUCAAUUGGGUUUCAACCGCUGGAAGACAGAAAUGGAAAAUGUCUGGCAAUUCUAAAAAAGGAAAGUUCUUCAAGUGGAUUACACAAUAAGCAUGGAAGAAGUCUCCAUCCCCAAGCUGCAUGAUCUAUUACACAGUAAAUGAAGCAUGUUUAAUAGAAAUUAAUACCACACAGCUUUCUCCAGAAGAAAUACCUG